rnacentral:rRNA from 1 species
UGGGGAAUUUUGCACAAUGGGGGAAACCCUGAUGCAGCGACGCCGCGUGAUUUAGAAGGCCUUCGGGUUGUAAAAAUCUUUUCUAUGGGAAGAAAAUGACAGUACCAUAGGAAUAAGGACCGGCUAAUUACGUGCCAGCAGCCGCGGUAAUACGUAAGGUCCGAGCGUUCUCCGGAAUCAUUGGGCGUAAAGGGUACGUAGGCGGGUAAGCAAGUUAGAAGUGAAAUCCUAUAGCUCAACUAUAGUAAGCUUUUAAAACUGCUCAUCUUGAGGUAUGGAAGGGAAAGUGGAAUUCCUAGUGUAGCGGUGAAAUGCGCAGAUAUUAGGAGGAAUACCGGUGGCGAAGGCGACUUUCUGGCCAUAACCUGACGCUGAGGUACGAAAGCGUGGGUAGCAAACAGG